CAGUCUAUCUUUUAGUGAAAGAAGCAUUUGUAUUCACAUUGAUAUCCACGUGCCUUGCUAUUUCGUAGAAACUAUUGUUAAAUUAUUUUGUUGGUAUUCCUUCUCAAGAGAUGGGAAGUGGUAGUUCCUCUGAGCAAUAGUGAUCAUCUACCGCCCAACUUCAUAGUCGAAUUCCCUUUGUAAGCUCGCGCAUCUCGUCUGAAAUCAGGAACAUCUCAUCUGAAAUCCGCAAAUCUGGUAAAUUUCUUAAGAGGAGUAAUCUAGGUUUGCGACAAGCUCGGGUUUUUGAUAAUUAUUCAACAUACUGAGUUCCCAGAUUACUACUACUGAAGCAAUGGGUGCGUGGGGGAACCAACAGGACUUUGUAGAUUUUGUUCAACAUGCCACUUCGCUUAGUAGUCACAAACAACCUUUUGACAAUGUACAACUUCAAUGAGCUUUACUAAGCUUCUUUUGACCAUGUUAAGGUUCACUAAGCUUCUUUUGACUAUGUACAGGUUUGCUAAUCUUCUUUUGACUAUAAGCUUCUUUGACUAUGUACAUACGUAGUAUUUACUAAGGUAGUGUACAUGAGCUUUUAGAUGUAAGAAAAACAAACUCUGAUGUAAUUGGACAUAUAAUUAUUUUUGACGUAUAAAAUCAAAUAUAUGUAAAUAUUUUAAUUAUAUUUUGCA